GACGAACGCUGGCGGCGUGCUUAACACAUGCAAGUCGAACGGGCCUUGUCCCCUUUUUUUUUGGGGGUGGGGUUAGUGGCGAACGGGUGAGUAACACGUGAGUAACCUGCCCCUCACUUCUGGAUAACCGCUUGAAAGGGUGGCUAAUACGGGGUGUUCUGGCCUGCUCGCAUGGGCGGGUUUGGAAAGAUUCGACCGGUUUUGGUUGUUUUGGUGGGGGAUGGGCUCGCGGCCUAUCAGCUUGUUGGUGGGGUGAUGGCCUGCCAAGGCUUUGACGGGUAGGCGGCCUGAGAGGGUGGGCGGUCACACUGGGACUGAGACACGGCCCAGACUCCUACGGGAGGCAGCGGUGGGGAAUAUUGCACAAUGGGCGCAAGCCUGAUGCAGCGACGCCGCGUGAGGGAUGGAGGCCUUCGGGUUGGGAACCUCUUUCGCCAGUGAAGAAGGUCCUGCUCUUUGUGGUGGGGUUGACGGUAGCUGGGUUAAUGAAGCGCCGGCUAACUACGUG
rnacentral:rRNA from 1 species